rfam:Brachypodium distachyon strain Bd21 chromosome 1, whole genome shotgun sequence.
AACAUAUUCCCUCCGUUUCAUAAUUCUUGUCAAAAUCUUACAUGUAUCUAGACAUUUUUUAGAAAUAGAUACAUUUAUUUUGUGGCAAAUUUGAGACAAGAAAUAUGAAACGGAGGGAGUAACAU